rnacentral:rRNA from 1 species
GAUGAACGCUGGCGGUAUGCCUAACACAUGCAAGUCGAACGGGCUCUUCGGAGCUAGUGGCGGACGGGUGAGUAACGCGUGAGAAUCUGCCUUCAGGAUGGGGACAACAGUGAGAAAUCGCUGCUAAAACCCAAUGUGCCGAAAGGUGAAAUAUUGUAUAGCCUGAAGAGGAGCUCGCGUCCGAUUAGUUAGUUGGUGGGGUAAAGGCCUACCAAGGCAGCGAUCGGUAGCUGGUCUGAGAGGAUGAGCAGCCACACUGGGACUGAGACACGGCCCAGACUCCUACGGGAGGCAGCAGUGGGGAAUUUUCCGCAAUGGGCGAAAGCCUGACGGAGCAAUACCGCGUGAGGGAGGAAGGUUUUUGGAUUGUAAACCUCUUUUGUUAAGGAAGAAGAAAGUGACGGUACUUAACGAAUAAGCAUCGGCUAACUCCGUGCCAGCCGCCGCCGUAA